GGUCUCGUAGCUCAGCGGAAGAGCGUCCGCCUCACACGCGGAAGGUCGCUGGUUCGAACCCAGCCGGGACCACCA
rnacentral:tRNA from 1 species